GAUGAACGCUGGCGGCGUGCCUAAUACAUGCAAGUCGAGCGAACAGACGAGGAGCUUGCUCCUUUGACGUUAGCGGCGGACGGGUGAGUAACACGUGGAUAACCUACCUAUAAGACUGGGAUAACUUCGGGAAACCGGAGCUAAUACCGGAUAACAUGUUGAACCGCAUGGUUCAACAGUGAAAGACGGUCUUGCUGUCACUUAUAGAUGGAUCCGCGCCGCAUUAGCUAGUUGGUAAGGUAACGGCUUACCAAGGCAACGAUGCGUAGCCGACCUGAGAGGGUGAUCGGCCACACUGGAACUGAGACACGGUCCAGACUCCUACGGGAGGCAGCAGUAGGGAAUCUUCCGCAAUGGGCGAAAGCCUGACGGAGCAACGCCGCGUGAGUGAAGAAGGUCUUCAGAUCGUAAAACUCUGUUAUUAGGGAAGAACAAAUGUGUAAGUAACUAUGCACGUCUUGACGGUACCUAAUCAGAAAGCCACGGCUAACUACGUG
rnacentral:rRNA from 1 species